GUGCUUGUGGUGUAGUGGUUAUCACAUCCGCCUAACACGCGGAAGGUACCAGGUUCGAUCCCUGGCAGGCACA
rnacentral:tRNA from 1 species